rnacentral:lncRNA from 1 species
AUAUUGUGGUGAAGAAGGCUACAAAGUUGAAAACUGUCCUAAGAAGCAAAAUCAACGCAUUAUCAAGACUAGAGGCACGUUUGUUCAGGAAAACGAAGAUGUCCAGCUAUAAUAGAGACCGUGCAGUUGGACAAUUCAAUACCACAACAACAAUCAUGUUCCUCUCUUUCUGCUCAGUCUGUCCAUUACUUUACCAUUCCUCUAUCUUUUGGCCCUUAGAAAUUAAAAACCUUGGCAUUAUUAGAUUCAAG